UCGUCGGAGAGUUUGAUCCUGGCUCAGGAUAAACGCUGGCGGCGUGCAUGAGACAUGCAAGUCGAACGGGCGUCUCGGGCUUGCUCGAGACGCUAGUGGCGAACGGCUGAGUAACGCGUAGGUGACCUGCCCCGAAGUGGGGAAUAACUGCCCGAAAGGGUGGCUAAUACCGCAUGUGGUCGCACGUUUCAUGCGUGCGAGUAAAGCCGCAAGGCGCUUCGGGAGGGGCCUGCGUCCGAUUAGCUCGUUGGUGGGGUAAUGGCUCACCAAGGCGACGAUCGGUAGGUGGUCUGAGAGGAUGAUCAGCCACACUGGGACUGAGACACGGCCCAGACUCCUACGGGAGGCAGCAGUCGGGAAUUUUGCUCAAUGGGCGAAAGCCUGAAGCAGCAACGCCGCGUGAGGGAUGAAGGCCUUCGGGUUGUAAACCUCUUUUCCCAGGGAAGAUGAUGACGGUACCUGGGGAAUAAGCCACGGCUAACUACGUGCCAGCAGCCGCGGUAAUACGUAGGUGGCAAGCGUUGUCCGGAUUUAUGGGCGUAAAGAGCGCGCAGGCGGCUGGUCAAGUCCGAUGUGAAAGCUCCCGGCUUAACUGGGAAACGGCAUCGGAAACUGAUCGGCUGGAAGGUGGGAGAGGGUAGCGGAAUUCCCGGUGUAGUGGUGA
rnacentral:ncRNA from 1 species